rnacentral:rRNA from 1 species
GGNNGGGCUAUACAUGCAAGUCGAGCGAGCAAUUUUAACGGAAGGCCUUCGGGCUGGAAGCUAAAAGCGCGAGCGGCGGAUGGGUGAGUAACACGUGGGCAACCUGCCCUUUAGCUUGGGAUACCACUUGGAAACAGGUGCUAAUACCAAAUAAGAAGCAAGAGCGCAUGCUCAAGCUAUGAAAGGCGGCUUUCGAGCUGUCACUAAAGGAUGGGCCCGCGGUGCAUUAGCUAGUUGGUAAGGUAACGGCUUACCAAGGCAAUGAUGCAUAGCCGAGUUGAGAGACUGAUCGGCCACAUUGGGACUGAGACACGGCCCAAACUCCUACGGGAGGCAGCAGUAGGGAAUCUUCCACAAUGGACGCAAGUCUGAUGGAGCAACGCCGCGUGAGUGAAGAAGGUUUUCGGAUCGUAAAGCUCUGUUGUUGGUGAAGAAGGAUGUGAAUAGUAACUGAUUCAUAUUUGACGGUAAUCAACCAGAAAGUCACGGCUAACUACGUGCCAGCAGCCGCGGUAAUACGUAGGUGGCAAGCGUUGUCCGGAUUUAUUGGGCGUAAAGCGAACGCAGGCGGGAGAACAAGUCAGCUGUGAAAGCCCUCGGCUUAACCGGGGAAGUGCAGCUGAAACUGUUUUUCUUGAGUGCAGAAGAGGAGAGUGGAACUCCAUGUGUAGCGGUGGAAUGCGUAGAUAUAUGGAAGAACACCAGUGGCGAAGGCGGCUCUCUGGUCUGUAACUGACGCUGAGGUUCGAAAGCAUGGGUAGCGAACAGGAUUAGAUACCCUGGUAGUCCAUGCCGUAAACGAUGAGUGCUAAGUGUUGGGAGGUUUCCGCCUCUCAGUGCUGCAGCUAACGCAUUAAGCACUCCGCCUGGGGAGUACGACCGCAAGGUUAAAACUCAAAGGAAUUGACGGGGGCCCGCACAAGCGGUGGAGCAUGUGGUUUAAUUCGAAGCAACGCGAAGAACCUUACCAGGUCUUGACAUCUAGUGUCAGUCCUAGAGAUAGGAUGUUCCCUUCGGGGACACUAAGACAGGUGGUGCAUGGCUGUCGUCAGCUCGUGGUCGUUGAGAUUGUUGGGAUUAAGUCCCGCAACGAGCGCAACCCCUAAUCA